AUUGAACGCUGGCGGCAGGCCUAACACAUGCAAGUCGAACGAGUGGCGGACGGGUGAGUAAUGUCUGGGAAACUGCCUGCUGGAGGGGGAUAACUACUGGAAACGGUAGCUAAUACCGCAUACCAUCGGAUGUGCCCAGAUGGGAUUAGCUAGUAGGUGGGGUAACGGCUCACCUAGGAGACGAUCCCUAGCUGGUCUGAGAGGAUGACCGGCCACACUGGAACGUAGACACGGUCCAGACUCCUACGGGAGGCAGCAGUGGGGAAGAUUGCAAAAUGGGCGCAAGCCUGAUGCAGCCAUGCCGCGUGGAUGAAGAAGGCCUUCGGGUUGUAAAGUACUUUCAGCGGGGAGGCGUUACCCGCAGAAGAAGCACCGGCUAACUCCGUGCCAGCAGCCGCGGUAAUAC
rnacentral:rRNA from 1 species